ensembl:lncRNA
GACGUCAGACACGGUCAUAUUCAGAAAUAUCUCGUGAUGACAGGCUAACCUCACACCUGUUGGUAGAACGGAUGCCCUUUUAAAGGUCAUUACGUUCCUUUAGACGUCCUCCAAAAAGCGUCACAGGUAGAGAGGCAGAGGAAGUAAGCCGGCAGGUUAGAGCAGCAGCUGAAGGCGAGGAUGGAGUCAGAGUGUUUUCCCUCCCAUCCCACACCAACAACCUGUUCCUGGGUUUGGAUCUCUGCCUGGAGUAGACAGGGAGGGGGGAGAGUGGGUCUGACAGGAGGCCGGGCACCUGCCGGCCCGUCUGGCCGACGGAGGAUUCACCGCACAUCAAGCCCACCGUGUCAGGAGCGGACUCGACAGAAGAAACGCGGACGAAAGGGGAUCCCACCGCACUCUCCCUCACACUCCCUCACACUCUCACUCUCACUCUCACUCUCACUAUUACCCACAAAACAUGUUUAAAUAGUAAUAGUAGGUAGAAAAUAAAAGAUUAGAGGCAGAAUGCUUCAGAAUCCUGGCUGGGUAACUGCAUUAUCGUUUCUCUUGACCGACGGUCAGUAGACAAACAGUCCUCUUCGAUGGAUGCCUUGCUCGGGGCAAGGUCAGGACAGCUGCUCCCUGAUGGAGCUGUCUGGCUUCUACUGUUGCAUGAACUACAGCGGCCUUACUCCACAAGGCCGGGUCUCAUCAGUACAACCUGCCUCCUUCACCCGGGAACAGCGUUCCAAUUCUGGUUUUAGUCCUGAUGACCUCGAAAGCCCAAUCAGAACGAGGAAGCCACCCAGAAGGAGGCGGUGCUAUAUGCCAGCCAAUCGACACCGAGAGUUUAACUGUGUGUACUCGUUUGGUUGUGAUUGGUGGGUUUGAAAUAGAUUCCGGAAUCUCUGCUUACUGUGUGAAUUACAUUAAGCUUUUCCUCCGGUGUUGGUUUAGUUAUAAAUAACAUAUAUUAUAUUUUGCUUUUCACUUAUAUAAUACACUAUGGCUUAGCUGGGAGUUAGCGUUAUAGCGAGGGUGGUUAUGAAACGCCACCUCUAUCUGCUCGUUAGGGACAUGUUUAAAAAAUCGAUUAAUCUCGCUUUGGUUAAACGCCAAAAGAAAACGAGCAUUCAAAUGUUGACAUGGUAUUUUCGUUUAGUUCACAAGUUCAGCCGACUCUUUUCGACGGAACGGAGCUAAAGAAAUUCCGCCUAUUUUUACCUCCCCUUCACAUAUCGACUCCAGCAGUACCUCCGCGUGUAGCGCCGCCACGUCUCAUUGGCUGAGUCAGGCGGAGGAGUCGCAGAGGACUCUGAGAUACCGUCGACAGUCUCGUCAGCUGUCAUACACCCAGGAGUAAGAACCCCCCCCCCCCCCCCCCCCCCCAACACCUCUCCUUACCUUCCUCAUCCCCCCCUCCCCCCUCACAUUAUGAACCCCUACCCGUCUCUGAGAAGGAGUUGGGUUGGUAGCGGUGGUUUUUAUGAUGAUGAUUCUGAAAUCGCGGUUUAAUGUCUUGCUAAUCGCUCACGGGCGCUCCGGCGCGGUCCCUCAUAACACGUCCCAGCAGGGGUUAAUCAGAUCACGGCAAAACACAAAAACAAUUACAGCCACUGGGAUACCGUUCAUGCGAAUAUUAUAAUAUACUCUCCCUUAUUAUUCGGAUUUAACAAGAAAAACUAGUUAGACGAAGCAUCAAAGCACUUAAAACAGAAAAAAUGCUCCAAUAACAAAGGAAAAAGGACUGAGAAAAAUGAAAUGGUGGGUGUCGCGGCAGAAGAACAUGACAUGAGAACGAAGUGUGCUGCAGUCUCAUGUGGACCCGCGCGCUAUAAUGCUGCUCAACCGGCCUAACCCACUGAACUCAUGACCCAGGCACUGGCCUAUAGGGUUAGUGGAAGGGGAGACAUGGGGGGGGGGGAGAGAGAGAGAGAGAGAGAGAGAGAGAGAGAGAGAGAGUGGGGGAGAUAGAGAGUGAGAGAGUGAGAGAGUGAGAGAGAGAGAGAGAGAGAGAGAGAGAGUGAUGGAGAGACAGAGAGAGACCCCCUGCUCCCCCUGCGAGAGAGUGAGAGACUAUGCGUGAGUACAAUGACAUCACAAUGCGUUUCACAUAUUGUUUUAUAUUUUCUUAGAGAUUCUUAAUUGCAUUCGGUUUCAACGGAAGGAAUUCCCAAAGCAGACGCCAACCUGAUUGACAUCCUCUAUUUAAUCCAUUGUUUCAUAUAGAAGUGUGUGUGUGUGUGUGUGUGUGUGUGUGUGUGUGUGUGUGUGUGUGUGUGUGUGUGUGUGUGUGUGUGUGUGUGUGUGUGUGUGUGUGUGUGUGUGUGUGUGUGUGUGUGUGCUCAUGUUUGCCCACUACAUGGAGGCCUGCAUUUUCCUUUUAGCGAAGCACAAGGCUUACAAGAGAUUAAGUGAUUUGGAGGAAGCUUAAACAUAUCCUGCUCAUAUAUUUUAAACCCUUACAUUUCUGUAUUUAAUAGAACUAUAUAUUAUUAUUUUAUUUAUUUUUUUACUUUUUCACUAAAAAGUUCAACCAACUGAACCUGGUUCCAGAAGCUUCAGUUCUCUGAAACAGAAGCCCCCUCCCUCCACACGCGGGGAUGAUUACUGAGCUCUCUGUCGGCAGAGUGCGUCUGGAAUC